rnacentral:rRNA from 1 species
GAUGAACGCUGACAGAAUGCUUAACACAUGCAAGUCGACUUGAAUUUGGGUUUUUAACUUAGGUUUGGGUGGCGGACGGGUGAGUAACGCGUAAAGAACUUGCCUCACAGCUAGGGACAACAUUUGGAAACGAAUGCUAAUACCUAAUAUUAUGAUAAUAGGGCAUCCUAUAAUUAUGAAAGCUAUAAGCGCUGUGAGAGAGCUUUGCGUCCCAUUAGCUAGUUGGAGAGGUAGCGUCUCACCAAGGCGAUGAUGGGUAGCCGGCGUGAGAGGGUGAUCGGCCACUAGGGGAGUGAGACACGGCCCUUACUCCUGCGGGAGGCAGGAGUGGGGAAUAGUGGACAGUGGACCGAGAGUCUGAUGCAGCAAUUCGGUGUGCACGAUGAAGUUUGUCGGAUUGUAAAGUGCUUUCAGUUGGGAAGAAACAAAUGACGGUACCAACAGAAGAAGUAACGGCUAAAUACGUG